ensembl:lncRNA
GGAAACUAUUUUAACAAGCUCACUAGGUGGUUCUUAUGAAUGUUAGAGUUUGCGAACCACAGUUCUCACCCAGGUGGAGUUUAGCUCCCUUUACAGGAAGUUUCGUGUGAAACUUAGCUUCCUUUGGGCUGUUCCUGCCUGAGAAAUAUGGUAGGAGCAGCAAGAAAUUUUCCCAGCCACUAAUGCCUAAAGUAUUUGUUCACUGAAGCUCUGCAUGUUUUAAGUGAUGGAAAGACUCAUCUAAUCCCCAUGUUGGGUGCACCUGCUUAGAUCUGAGGAAGCCCCAGCCAAAGAAACUGAGAGGAGAGACCAGAGAAAGGAGGAGGACCAGGAGCCUGUGGUGUCAGAGGCUGGGUGAAGAGCAUUUUCAGGAGGAAGCUGACUAGGUCUUGUACUGGACAUAGAGGACACACGAUCACUUCAAAGAGACAUAACAGGCCAGCACUGCUCCAGGUGCAGGAGAAAUUGGAAUGAACUGAAAUGACAAAAACCCUGCCCCCAUGCCCUGUACACUCUACUGGGGAAAACAAGCAAUAAACAAGGUGAUUCUGAUGCAUCCUAAAAUUGGAGAACCGCUGCUCUAAAGAAUAGCACGAAACCAAUUUGGCCAACCCUCAAGCAAUCCAUUCUGGUGUUUUGUUUGCCCUGUGAUGCAGAACUCAGGCCUCUAUGGACCGCUUGUCCAGAUCUAAAGGUGUUUCCUGAGGGCCGAAUUGGCCUCGUAUGCAGGUUCCUCUGCAGACCACAGCAACGCACAGAAGAUGUGGCACUGCCUCCUGGCACGCACACAGGGCCGGCUCCCCCAGCUACACAUCAAACACCAACUCUGCUGCCCAUGCCGGAUGCCAAGUGAGAUAAUAUGUCCUUGCCUCCUGCUUUCCUGAGAUGAGUAACAAAAUAAUCCUAGCUGCUAUCAUUCAUGCGGUAGCCACAAGCUCUAAGCUGGUGCAGAAUAUACUCUUCAUCUGCAAAGUGAGUACUAACAAUAACCCUGCUUUGCAGAUGAUGAAACCAGAGCUUUAAAGAAGCCUCUAACCUAUUACAACUCAUGGUACAGGCAUUUGGUCCCGGGACUACCCAUCUCCAGUAUGAAAUCCCUGUAUUUCUCUCUUUUCCUCUGAAAAUCUGUCUCUGUCUUGAUCCCUGGUCUUGGAGGAAGAAAAGUUCUUUCAAUGCAAAGUUUCCUCCUCCAUCUUGAGCUUGGUUUCCUCCUGUCUCCCACUGCACCUCCCUACAUUAACUGUCCCCUCCCUCUCUCAUAUAGAUCAGCCUCUCCUCCCCACUGCCUCUUCCCUACAAAUGCAUUUGGUCUGCCCGCCUUCACCAAUCACUCCUGCUUCAUCUGCCUCCUUGCUUCACUGUCAGCUUGUCAAAAGGAAGGGUGUUUCAGUUUGGCCACCUCUUCUGUUCCCUCAUGCACUCCUUGGCUGUCCAGUCACCUACUUGGUGAGCAAAGCCUUGGUCCCUUCCCUGACACUGUGUGUCUUGGGUCCCUUCUCUUCCCUCCUGGGUGGGCACCAUGUCAUCUCCUACCCUUUUGUUUCUCAGUGCCUGGGACAGUGCCCUGAAUAGCAAGGGCGAUGGUGAUGACCUCACAUUCAGAACUGGUCAAAAAUCAAGACAAACACUUCCCAGGGGCAGGGAGCUAGCUGAGGUGGGGCUCCCAGGGAAAUUCCUUUGGGCUGGAGUUCUGUUCAGCAGAAUGACGACACACUAUUGCCAUUUUUAGAGCAGUGAUUACCAAAUGGAAAUACCCUAUUUCACCAGAGACUGAGAUCCGAAGUCACUCGCUUCAUAGCUAAAUGUCAUUUACCUCUUCACUGUAACUGAGGCGCUGAGAAACAAGCACAUGACUACAUGCUAGGGGAUUCAAUUCCUGUUUUUCCUUCCUGUUUGUCCUCUGUUAAAAUAAAAAAAGAAUUACCUAAAAGAAACUUCUUGGUAUUGUUAUCCUGAGAGUGUAUUACUACCACAUAUAUGGAG